rnacentral:rRNA from 1 species
CGUGGAUUAUGUUGUUUAAUUCGACGCAACGCCGAAGAACCUUACCAGGCCUUGACAUACUCGGCAAAGCUCUAGAGAUAGAGUGAGGUUAUCCGGGAUACAGGUGGUGCAUGGUUGCCGUCAGCUCGUGUCGUGAGAUGUUGGGUUAAGUCCCGCAACGAGCGCAACCCUUGUCUUUAGUUACCAUCAUUCAGUUGGGGACUCUAGAGAGACUGCCGGUGAUAAACCGGAGAAGGUGGGGAUGACGUCAAAUCAUCAUGCCCCUUAUGGCCUGGGCUACAAACGUAAUACAAUGGCGUAUACAAAGGGAUGCGAAAGGGCGACCUGGAGCAAAACUCACAAAGUACGUCUCAGUUCAGAUUGGAGUCUGCAACUCGACUCCAUGAAGGCGGAAUCGCUAGUAAUCGCAGGUCAGCAUACUGCGGUCGAAUACGUUCCGGGCCUU